rnacentral:rRNA from 1 species
GCUCAGGAUGAACGCUGGCGGCGUGCCUAACACAUGCAAGUCGAACGAAGAGGCCCCUUCGGGGGUACUUCAGUGGCGGACGGGUGAGUAACACGUAGGUGACCUACCCCGAAGUGGGGAAUAACAGUCCGAAAGGAUUGCUAAUACCCCAUAUGAUCGAUGAGGUUAGAGUCUGGUCGAUUAAAGCAGCAAUGCGCUUCGGGAGGGGCCUGCGCCCCAUCAGCUAGUUGGUAGGGUAAUGGCCUACCAAGGCAACAACGGGUAGGGGGCCUGAGAGGGUGACCCCCCACAUUGGCACUGACACACGGGCCAAACUCCUACGGGAGGCAGCAGUGAGGAAUAUUGCUCAAUGGGCGAAAGCCUGAAGCAGCAACGCCGCGUGCGCGAUGAAGGCCUUCGGGUCGUAAAGCGCUUUUGAGAGGGACGAGAUAGGACGGUACCUCUUGAAUAAGUCACGGCUAACUACGUGCCAGCAGCCGCGGUAAAACGUAGGUGGCAAGCGUUAUCCGGAUUCAUUGGGCGUAAAGCGCGUGCAGGUGGCUUUGUAAGUUGGACGUUAAAUCCCCCAGCCUAACUGGGAGUGGUCGUUCAAUACUGCGAGGCUUGAGGGCAGAAGAGGGGGGUGGAAUUGCUGGUGUAGUGGUGAAAUGCGUAGAUAUCAGCAGGAACACCUGUGGCGAAAGCGGCCCCCUGGUUUGCUCCUGACACUCAGACGCGAAAGCUAGGGGAGUGAACGGGAUUAGAAACCCCGGUAUCCUAGCCGUAAACGAUGGAUGCUAGGUGUGGGUGGUAUUGACCCCAUCCGUGCCGAAGCCAACGCGUUAAGCAUCCCGCCUGGGG